rnacentral:lncRNA from 7 species
UGUGUGGGAGCUUUCCCCACAGACAUCCCAAGGCCCCUUCCAACCACAUGGAUUCUGUGAUCUUAUCAUCCUUAGGAAGGACGGAGUUUAAGAUGGGCAUUAGUAGAGUCCAUGUCAGUACAUUUAUAGGGGGAAAAAAAAAAAAGGAAGUAUUUUUAAUUUUUCUCGUCUCUUGUAUCUCUGUGCCACUCAGUAGAUAUCAGUUUGAUAUCUACUUAAGUGUAAAGUUUUCUGCUCAUCCAACCUUGCUGAAAUGGAUGGGCUAAAAUUCAGGUUGUAAGAAAUGCAUCGGCGUCCAUAAAUCCUUUAACUGUCAUUGUGAAGGACAUUUGCAGGAGACUGAUCAGCACUUUCAGUAGCUACUUCCUGCCCACUUAAAUAUUUUGGGGUGCUUUUUCUGGAAGACAGUGUAUUUGAUGAAGUCAAAGGGAGUCUCAAGGGGAAGACUAUGAAGAAAGAGACAGAAGUGUUUUACUGCUGCAAACUUUUCUGUGAUAACUGCUGUUUUCAAAUGCCUGAAUUCUGCCAGCUGACCCAAUGGCUGCUGAAGUGAGAAAGGACAGUCCAGGGUGCUGGAUCCUUUGGUCCUUACGGAUUUCAUGGGACGGUGCAGGGUGAGUUGAGAACUCUGAAAUAGAAGAGAAGGAAAAGAAAGAGGAGAAGGAAGACAGGACAAAAAAAAGCACUAAUACCAUAUGAGAAUUUAAAGCCUAGUUGUUCUUCAUACUUUUCACCCAAGAGCAACAGAAGUGGAAAAAUAAGAGCAGGAGUUGGGUCUAAAACACUUUAUUUUUUAGGAAGAGAAUGGAGAAAUGUUAAUACGUACAAAUUUCUGGUAUUUCUUUACUUUUUUAUUUUUAUUAUUUUUGCAGAACAUGCUAUAAAACUCCUUAAGAAUCACAGAAUCACAGUUAUUUUUGGUUCGGCUUCAGCUGGUGCAGUUACAUGUUUGUUUGAAGUCUAUAGCUUCUGAUAGACAAAAUGGCCAAACAUUCAGGAUCUUAAGCUUUCCUUCCUGACCUCCAGAGCAUCGUGUGUAGGCACUACUAUUAUGAUUCUUGCUAGAUGUUAUUGAGCCACAGAUUUCAGGUCUCUACUCAGUUUACUUUUACAACAUAAAAGUGGAUAAAUCUUCACUUGAGUUUUUCUUAAGUUCUCCGAUAGGAGUAGGAACAGGCUGAGCCUGAUGAUAGCUGCUGUGUUGUAAACACCUACAUGUAACACUUAUGAAAUACAGGUCCUUGUGUACUCCAUAGCAAAGCCUGUGGGUUGUUUCAGGCAGUAAACCUGUCCAAUCAAGUCUAGGUGAACCAAAGUUAUUCUGAAAUACAGCUUUAGGCUGUUUAGUAAAUUGCAAACAUUCAGUGAAAGCUGCCUCUUUCCUUGGACAGAAUCCCUUUAUUAAUUUUACUAUGGGAAAAGCAUGGUGUAGACUUUUAAUGAGACAUACAAAACAGUUACUGUUUUUCACAAAGUCAGCUGUGUAGUGUGUAUCACUCUUUUCCUGAUUUUUUCCUCUGUGUAAUGUUUGAUAAGUGCAGUAAAUCCAAGAAGUGUUGC